AUGCAUGUCUAAGCACAAGCCAAAACAAGGUGAAGCCGCGAAUUGCUCAUUACAACAGCCAUUGUUUACUGGAUCUUAACUAUCCUACUUGGAUAACUGUGGUAAUUCUAGAGCUAAUACACGCACCAAGCUCUGACCGCAAGGGAUGAGCGCAUUUAUUAGAACAAAAACCAAUCAGACUCUGUCUGUCUUUGGUGGAUCUGAAUAACUCAGCUGAUCGCAUGGUCUCGUACCAGCGACGUAUCUUCCAAGUGUCUGCCUUAUCAACUUUUGAUGGUAGUUUAUGCGACUACCAUGGUUGUAACGGGUAACGGAGAAUAAGGGUUCGACUCCGGAGAGGGAGCCUGAGAAACGGCUACCACAUCCAAGGAAGGCAGCAGGCGCGCAAAUUACCCAAUCUCAGAACGAGGAGGUAGUGACGAAAAAUAACGAGACGGUUCUCUAUGAGGCCCGUUAUCGGAAUGAGUACAAUUCAAACCCUUUAACGAGGAUCUACGAGAGGGCAAGUCUGGUGCCAGCAGCCGCGGUAAUUCCAGCUCUCGAAGUGUAUAUCAUUGUUGUUGCGGUUAAAAAGCUCGUAGUUGGAUCUGCGUCUUUGGAGUCGGUCUUCCCAACGGGUUAGCACUGACAUCCUGGACUAAUUUGGCUGGUUUUGUCUUGGUGCCCUUUACCGGGUGCCUUGGCUGACUAGCAUGUUUACUUUGAAAAAAUUAGAGUGCUCAAAACAGGCGUUUGCCUGAAUACUGGUGCAUGGAAUAAUAGAAUAGGACCUCGGUUCUAUUUUGUUGGUUUUCGGAACAUGAGGUAAUGAUUAAGAGGGACAGACGGGGGCAUUCGUAUUGCAGCGCUAGAGGUGAAAUUCUUGGACCGCUGCAAGACGAACAACUGCGAAGGCAUUGCCAAGAAUGU
rnacentral:rRNA from 1 species